CUCACCUGGAGCUGGGAGGUGAGCACAGAGCUGUGUGUUAAUGCCCCAGCCUGCCUGCAGUGCAAAACCCCAUUGCUUUGGGAUGCCAAGCAGCCCCACCACCUGCACAGCGUGCACACGCUCCUUCUGCUGGAAUCAACAGGCCAAAUUCAAGUGGGCAGAGCCUGGAGGGAGAUUUUUAUCUGCAAUUUACAGAGAACAGAUCUCUUAUCUCUGCAAGUAUUAUUUCAAAGCAAAUAACUUCUGAGAUGACAAAGACACAGGUCAGGCUUCUAAAGCAAGGUAGAAGUGGCCUCCAAAGGGGAAAAUAAACCAGGAUUUGUGCUCUAGUUUUGCAUAUUUAAGGUAGCCAUGUGGGAGAGGAGGGUUAGUUUCCUUUUAACCAGUCUGUACUUUUGCUCUGAUGCUUCAUAUUUUUUUGUUCCGUAUUAAGAAUUCGCAUCUUUGCUUAGUCAGUGUUUGUGAUGGUUGAGGUUGUAAAGCCAACAAAGGAACAGCUUCUAAAAAAGUAAAAGCAAAUACAUGAAUAUGAAUAUGUCCACUGAAAGCAAUGAUGGCUUGCUUUCACACUCUGAUUUUCCUAAUUUUAAUGAAAAUGGUUAGAAAUUCAAUUGCUCGCUCAAUCUCUGAAAACCAGUUUCUAACUUUCCAGGCUGUAAGCUACAUAAAAAUUUUCCAAAGUGAAGCAAUCACAAGGCAGAAUCAAGAGAUGCACAUUUGGCAUAUCACAUGUGGCAGGGGGUAGGAUGUGAGAGUAUCUUCAGAGACCAACAGCCAACUGGAGCUGCACCAAAUUGUGACGAGAAGCAAGAUUAUCUUUGAACCAGAAAACCAGUCAUGGGGAAAUAUCUACAGAGAUGGAGCAUCUGUAUGGAUUCCAACAUAUGCUUUGGGUUGCAAGCACACAGAGAUGGAAAGCACACAAUCACACCAAUGGAAAAUAUUUUCAAGACAACCGCUGGGCUGGCACUGUUUAAAGAGGUUUUCUGCAUUAGCAUCCAAAGCUGCAGCUCAUCCCUGCGCUCGUGGACAGAGGUGCAGGAGCAGCACGUGAGCCUUUCCUGCACUGCAGGACUCUCCUGGAGCUGGGAUGAGCUGUGGCUGUGUACAUAACCUGCCUAAGGCACAGCACCGCUUCCCGGAGACACGGCCAGCCCUCCGGAAGGAACAGAUCCCUUCGUCAGCGGCUGCUACAAAGACACAAGGAAAGGUGCUUAAGGUCAGGAGCCAGACCCCCUUACAUGCCUUUUCCUUCCAGGAUCUCCAGCCCUUCCUUCAGGGGAAGUACAAUGUGAGGGGCAGCAGCUGAAGUGUCCCAUGGGUGAGGGAGGAGGAAGAAGCGCCCUGUCACCAAGGCAGGCUGAGCUGGCAGGGAGGGGAACUGCAGCUCCCUAGCUGGUGCAGGAGAAAAGCAGCACAAGAAUUUCCCUCUCACAAUUUCACUCUCCAUAUAAGAACAAAGGAAGUUACCAGAGCGUUUGUUUCUGCAGAGAUUCCUACGUGUACUGGAUUACCUCUGAAGGAACUGCUGUGUUGCACAAACCUUCACAGCAAACACGUAUUCAGUGGCACAGGCCUGUGCUGGAGUGCUUGGCAGCAGUGUCCAUUCUGCUGCUUGUCCCACACCCACCUCUGGGCCCAGCAGAAGUG